rnacentral:lncRNA from 1 species
AAGGAAGAGCCGGAGCAUCUAAUGGCGUAUGGCCCCCCUAUCCAACUGAUGGUGGAUCAGGGGCUGGCCACCAUCUUCUCCCCAAGAUGAUGAAGUCUUUCUCCCUUGUCCCCCUGUUCUUUACCUCUCACAUGGCAUGGUUGGGCCUCAGCACAUGUUGUAUGUAAAUACUCACACAGAAAUGCAAGAGGCGGUCGAUGUUUGUUUGAAUCCUGGAUAUAACCGAUAGCGUUAGAGCUCAGUCAGAACUGAGCCUCAAAAGGCAAAAUGUGUAAAACCUUAGGAGAAUCUGACUAGUGCAGGAAAGGGAUAUUUUUUGGCGAAAGUUGAUGCGUCACACUCUGGUUGUAGUUAGCAUUGACCAAGACGCACCAAAAAAGCGUGGUCUGAUGAGUACUGUUCUCCGCUGAUUUGCAGUACGUACAAAGGAAGUUUGACUGUCCUGAAAUCACCAUAAUUUUCGACCACAUUUAUUAGUCACUAUUGACCCCUCGAACACCCCCUCUCCCCCCAACCCGGACACCACCUGGUCGCCAAAUCGCCACCCAACCCCCCUCCCACCCAGCCCAAGAUGAUGAAGUCUUUCUCCCUUGUCCCCCUGUUCUUUACCUCUCACAUGGUUCAUGGUUGGGCCUCAGCACAUGUUGUAUGUAAAUACUCACACCGAAAUGCAAGAGGCGGUCGAUGUUUGUUUGAAUCCUGGAUAUAACCGAUAGCGUUAGAGCUCAGUCAGAACUGAGCCUCAAAAGGCAAAAGUGUAAAACCUUAGGAGAAUCUGACUAGUGCAGGAAAGGGAUAUUUUUUGGCGAAAGUUGAUGCGUCACACUCUGGUUGUAGUUAGCAUUGACCAAGACGCACCAAAAAAGCGUGGUCUGAUGAGUACUGUUCUCCGCUGAUUUGCAGUACGUACAAAG